rnacentral:rRNA from 1 species
AUUGAACGCUGGCGGCAUGCUUUACACAUGCAAGUCGAACGGCAGCGCGGGCUUCGGCCUGGCGGCGAGUGGCGAACGGGUGAGUAAUACCUCGGAACGUGCCCGGUAGUGGGGGAUAGCUCGCCGAAAGCCGGAUUAAUACCGCAUACGACCUGAGGGUGAAAGUGGGGGAUCUUCGGACCUCGCGCUAUUGGAUCGGCCGAUGUCAGAUUAGCUAGUUGGUGGGGUAAAGGCCUACCAAGGCGACGAUCUGUAGCUGGUCUGAGAGGACGACCAGCCACACUGGAACUGAGACACGGCCCAGACUCCUACGGGAGGCAGCAGUGGGGAAUUUUGGACAAUGGGCGAAAGCCUGAUCCAGCAAUGCCGCGUGUGUGAUGAAGGUCUUCGGGUUGUAAAGCACUUUUAGCGGGAACGAAAAGGAGUGAGCCAAUGCCACGGUUCGAUGACGGUACCAGCAGAAUAAGCACCGGCUAACUACGUG